rnacentral:rRNA from 1 species
UACAGAGGGGGCAAACGUUAUUCGGAAUUAUUGGGCGUAAAGGGCGCGUAGGCGGCCUGGCAAGUGGAAGGUGAAAUCCCUCGGCUUAACCGAGGAACUGCCCUCCAAACUGCUUGGCUUGAGUCCGGGAGAGGUGAGUGGAAUUCCCAGUGUAGCGGUGAAAUGCGUAGAUAUUGGGAGGAACACCAGUGGCGAAGGCGGCUCACUGGACCGGAACUGACGCUGAGGCGCGAAAGCGUGGGAGCAAACGGG